AUUGAACGCUGGCGGCAGGCUUAACACAUGCAAGUCGAGCGGAGAUGAGGUGCUUGCACCUUAUCUUAGCGGCGGACGGGUGAGUAAUGCUUAGGAAUCUGCCUAUUAGUGGGGGACAACAUUCCGAAAGGAAUGCUAAUACCGCAUACGUCCUACGGGAGAAAGCAGGGGAUCUUCGGACCUUGCGCUAAUAGAUGAGCCUAAGUCGGAUUAGCUAGUUGGUGGGGUAAAGGCCUACCAAGGCGACGAUCUGUAGCGGGUCUGAGAGGAUGAUCCGCCACACUGGGACUGAGACACGGCCCAGACUCCUACGGGAGGCAGCAGUGGGGAAUAUUGGACAAUGGGGGAAACCCUGAUCCAGCCAUGCCGCGUGUGUGAAGAAGGCCUUAUGGUUGUAAAGCACUUUAAGCGAGGAGGAGGCUACUGAGACUAAUACUCUUGGAUAGUGGACGUUACUCGCAGAAUAAGCACCGGCUAACUCUGUGCCAGCCGCCGCUGUAAAAC
rnacentral:rRNA from 1 species